UCAAACCGCCGACCUUCUGAUCGGCAAGUCCUAGGCUCUGUGGUUUAACACAAAGUGCCACCCGUGUGUUUUAUUUCUUUUUAGCUACUGUUGGCUUUAAUAAUACCUUGGAACGUUUUUAUAUACAGUAAUUUUUUAACUUUUUAAAUUGAUCAUGUUAAUGUUUUAUAUUUUUGUAAACUGCAUUGAGAUUUUCUUACAAUCAAGUGGUAUAUAUACACAUUUUGUUAAUUAAGAGCUGGCUAAUUAGUUGCCUUAUCCCAGGCAUGUUUACUGAAAGGUACCACUGAGUUUAGCAAUAACAAUUUCUUGUCAGUUGUUUUUGUUCUUUGAACAGGUUGAGGAGUUUCACAUACAUCCUCAUUAACCCUACAAGAGCCACAGAACCCUGUGUUCCGCUCAUGUAGAGUGCAGUCUUCAGACAAAAAGGCUCACAGGCAUCUGCUGCAGCUACAUUAUUCCCCCCCCCCCCACCAGGCUGUGGACACAGCCAUACCUUUCAUUGAGUUGAGACCUGGGCCACAAUCUCUCCAGCUCAGCAUCCUAGCAUUCACAACUUCUUUUUUCCAGAUUUUCCUCAAGUGGCAGCAAGGGUGGCAGGGGGCUACUUUGAAUUUAGUUGAAGCCUGGACUACUGACCAACUUUCUGAGCUGAAACUUGCAUCUGAGUAAGACAACUCAGUCCAUUGCUCUGGUGGUGAACUGAAAGAACUCGUGCGUCCACAUUUAAGGCCUUGGUGAAAAGAAGAGUAAGCCGCUGAGGACAUUACAGAUGGCAGAAGCCUCAUGGAAUCUGCAGAGGGCAAAUUCAUUUGUUCAGUCCCUUGCAACCCCUUUCCUUUCUUGGAAGGAAAGGUCUCCGGACAGUUCUUGGGUAGGUAGUAUAACAUGAUCAUUCCUGAGUUGAUUUGCUAAAAGGGGUGGGGGAAUCCCACUCCUCUCCCUUUCAUUUGAGAUUCACAGAGUUCCAGCUAGGAUUAUAAAUUCCUUUACAGGCUUCCCCUCGCUUGCAAACAUCUACUUGCUGCCUCUAGGCUUCAUAACUGCUUUGAGCAACAGGGCUUGGAAAUUCUCUGGGGCAAAUAAAGAGGUAGACGUAGACUCUGGUUCUCUGGGCUUCUUCCCAGAGAGCUCUCCCUCCUCCUUGCUUGUAAUAGGUUCUAACACCAGUUUACACUAUGGAAAGGGCUUCCUCUUCUCCUUACAGAGGGGUGGAUGAGAAGCAGGUGAGACAGCUUGCCACUUUUUGCUUACACCAAUGUUCUCAGCCCACUGCUGCUGCUUAGCUUAGCCUGAUUCAGCAGCAUGCAAUCUUGAGAAAAGCACCGCCUGUCAUCUUAAUGCAGCAGGAAAGCAAUCACCAGCAAUCUAACUGAAUUUUUGCAGGGUUGUGCACUUUGUGGUCAAGGUGUGGACCCCUGUGGUGCCCAGCAGCUGGAGGGCAUUAGAAUGGACCCCCCACACCACAACCUUUCCAAUGGAUACCAUCAGAGAGCGGAGGGGGUCAUCCUGAGCAGUUGCUGCUUAUGUUGCUUCCUCCCCGCACUGACCAGGCACACAUGCCAAGCUGCUUGUCUGCAUGUUGCUGAGACUUCCUAAGGGUAGCUAUGUGUAAAACUGUACACAUUAUCCUCACCAGCCUAGGCAAGUGAAGCACCUAGGCACUACAGGACCCAUAAUUCUCCUCAGGAUUUGGUUUUGGUGAAUUUCCAUGCCUUUGCUAGCUGUAUGGAGGAGAGACUCUGGGAUAGGUGGGGUGGGAGCUGCUGCACAGGGGAAUCAAUGUUUUGCUCAGCAGGCUUCACAACAGAAGCAUGCGGCUAACCAAGUAGCUGGCGUAGGCCAAACUCUUGUGAGGCUGUUGUGCCACAUUCAUCAUUCAUGUGACUAACCCCACCGUAGGAGACAGGAAGUCUGAUGGGAAUUUCCUGCUCCAGAAUGUCCUCCACUACCCAAAGAGAACACAGAACAUAUACACAAUAUAUCACAAAUAUGUAAAAAUGACCAUCAAGGACCUUAUCGAUGUUCAGCCACUAGUUAAAAGCACAAUACAUCUUACAGUACAUUCAAAUUUAGGCAUCCUGAAAGUAAGACAGAUAAAACCUCAGGUGGUUAAAUCUUUCCUACAUCUGAGAACACAUACAAUUUUACUUAACAGCAUCAUAGUUACAGUAGUUGCUCUGAACGAUUAAUGAAGGAAAGCAACAAGUAGUUUAGCUGAAACAAAUAUGAUCAUACAAAGGCAUGUUUUGAAAUAUAGUCAAGAAAAACAGCAGAAUGUGUUGUAUUAUUUUUUGGAAAGAAGAGCUUUACAUCUAAGCAGAACACGUGACAACCAGUAAGCAAUGGUCAACAUGCAACAGGAUUACUGGACUCUGCUUAAAAUAAAAUUUUGAAUACUAAACAGGUGCUCCAAAAUCAAGAGCAAACUCUUCUUCUUGCUCACAGAGCAAUUAUUUCUCCUAGUUACUUAAAAUAAUGCCUCAUUCUGCCAGGGCCAUGUUCUUCAACUGCAGUUUAUCAAUUUCUUGACCAAUACUGCCUUCCACUGUAUCACACUGUGCAAGGAAACCCUAAAAGCAAAAUUAAGGACAAUGAGGCUUAAUGCAAUAGGGUAUCUAAAAACCAAGCAUAGUAUUUUUUUUAUAUAGGAAAGACAACAAGAACAACUUAGCUUAUGAGCUAUGGGCACAAGUAAUUCUUUCUAUUAAAACAUACCUAAGAUCUGGUGUAGCAAUAACCAGUUUGCGAUUUGGAAGCCAGCCUAAGGAAUGGGUGCUCCCUCCCUCUAGCUUUCUUUACGCUCUUUAAUUUGAAUUGAACCCUCCCUUCCUGUUCUUCUUAACCAUAGCUUUACAUCUGAAAAUCAUGGUUUCCAUCUUGACCAAGAGUCCAAACUGAUAGUGGGCUUGUAAAUCACAGCUGAGAGGGAGCAUGAUUAGUGUUUACCAAAAUUAGGCAAUGGUGCAAAUGUAAUGCAAAACCACAGUUAAAGGAACAGGAGGGGUUAAGACACACCCGAAAGGGAACACAUGCAUUCCCAAGGCUCACUCCCAGUUUGCAAGCAAUAGUUUGACUACUUAGGAACCAGUAGAUUAACACUGGGAAUCCAUGAAAUUGUUGCCAUUCAGCUAUUCAAAUAUAAACGUUUGCUAUCUGCAAGAAAGUCUGCAAGAAAAAAGAAGAAGAAGAGAUGACCAGGUGUUCAACUACUGAAUGCUCCUCUGAGGAGUGGGAGAGAGCCUGAGACUGAUGAGCAAUGUGACUUCUAGGUGCUUUUGUCAAACUGCAUGCUAUUCUGGACUACUAUUUUGUUUACAUUUUCUGAAAUUUAAAAUGCAAUUCCAAGGGAAUGUAACCAAUACAAAUGGUAAUAAACACAUAGCUAGGACGAUG